rnacentral:misc_RNA from 1 species
GGGCAGCGACGGCAUCUCCCGCACUCCUCUUCAUUCGUGGGAACAAGCUCGGGCUUGUCCAUGGUCGGUUUUCCUGUGCUGCAUACCUAUUACGAGGGCAUUCGGUUGGCUAAAGUUCUCAUCUCCGCCUUGUGCUGCUGCUCCGUGCGGGCGUGCGGGACGGGUGGAUCUCAUGGCGCGCGUCGUGUUUCGCACCGUAACCACCCGCAUGGGUGUUUGGGUAGACGACCCACGACGUGCUGCCCGUUGUCUCGGGUAUGGAAUAUUGGGUGGGUAUGAGGCAUCUGCCUCUGAUCACCACAUAAAAGCGUUCUACGCUCUAUGCGAACGACGGCCGGUCGUGGUCUUUGACGGUGCACUCGCUGCUCGGUCGAAGCCGUGCCGGCGUCGGUGAGGGAUGCUACCUGGUUGAUCCUGCCAGUAGUCAUAUGCUUGUCUCAAAGAUUAAGC